UCGUUACGCGACCUUAAGAGCCGCACUUUGAUUGAGGUUCGAGACACGUCAAAAACGACCGUACCCGGACUUCAUUUCGUUGAAGACCGCGCCGAUC
rnacentral:sRNA from 1 species